rnacentral:tRNA from 1 species
GCGCUCGUAGCUCAGUUGGUAGAGUACAGGACUUUUAAUCCUGAAGCCGUGGGUCCAAGUCCCACCGGGCGCA